UAGAACCGCAAGGGGAGUCCAGCACGGGCUGAGAGGAAGCAGAAUGCGCUUCGACCCUGAGAACCUGUAAGUUCAAACUUACGAAGGGAUGUGGACCGGAACAAUC
rnacentral:ncRNA from 2 species